rnacentral:lncRNA from 1 species
UUGAUUUAUACUGAAUACAAUCGUACCCAGCAAAAAUAAACAAAUAACGUAACCAACACCUUGUUGCUUGCUGAGGGAGUUUUAUUAAAAUCGAACGUUUUCGAUCCACUUAACGGAUCAUCAUCAGGCAAGAAUAUACGAAAAUGGAAUACAUCAUAAAUGGAAUAAUAAGUUCAAAAAUUCAAAAUAUCAAUAAACUGAUAACAUAUCAAUUAAUAAAAAUAAAAAAUAAAAAAAAUAAAUAAAAAAUAAUAAAUUGUAAACGAUACCAAAUAAUAAAUAAUAUACUACAACGACUACACAUUAAUACUAAGUUUCCUUUAAAUCAAAUAAUUAUCAUAUUUCAGUUGUUGCGCUACUUGUAAGCUUCUUAACGGCAAAUUUCCAAGCCGAGGGAAGACCCUCCGCAUCCCUAGCAUUAAUGCAACUGUCCUUAAGUUUGCUCCUAUAUAUCUCCAUUUUUUCGGCCGUCUUCGCCAAAGUUGGUGAGUGUACUUGUCUCACGACUUCCGCUUCCUCCCAUCCAAUCAGGGAUCCUUGGGCCUGCGCCAUCUGGGCCAAAAUUGUUGUAUUAUAAAGGGGUUGUUAAAAAAGAAGAUAAGGCAGGUGUUUACAAGAUUCCCUACGAGAACCAGCUAUUAGGAAUAAAAAAAGAUUACAUAGGAGUUACCACCAGAAGCCUCGGGGUACGGAUUAGAGAACAUAAGUAUGAUGCUAGAAAAGGGUCUAAUACAACAAUUUUGGCCCAGAUGGCGCAGGCCCAAGGAUCCCUGAUUGGAUGGGAGGAAGCGGAAGUCGUGAGACAAGUACACUCACCAACUUUGGCGAAGACGGCCGAAAAAAUGGAGAUAUAUAGGAGCAAACUUAAGGACAGUUGCAUUAAUGCUAGGGAUGCGGAGGGUCUUCCCUCGGCUUGGAAAUUUGCCGUUAAGAAGCUUACAAGUAGCGCAACAACUGAAAUAUGAUAAUUAUUUGAUUUAAAGGAAACUUAGUAUUAAUGUGUAGUCGUUGUAGUAUAUUAUUUAUUAUUUGGUAUCGUUUACAAUUUAUUAUUUUUUAUUUAUUAUUUUUUUAUUUUUUAUUUUUAUUAAUUGAUAUGUUAUCAGUUUAUUGAUAUUUUGAAUUUUUGAACUUAUUAUUCCAUUUAUGAUGUAUUCCAUUUUCGUAUAUUCUUGCCUGAUGAUGAUCCGUUAAGUGGAUCGAAAACGUUCGAUUUUAAUAAAACUCCCUCAGCAAGCAACAAGGUGUUGGUUACGUUAUUUGAUUUAUACACUCAAAAAAUUAUUUAUUAAUUCUUUUUACGUUUAUCAUAUUUAAAUAGCAUUAUACUAAACAUAGAUUAUUACUUUUGUGGUCUCUAUACUUUUGUAGUACAAUAGAAAUGGAAGAGAAUUCUGCAAAUAUUUACACAAUUAAAUUAAUUUCUGUACGAAUUAAAACAUAUGUUUAACUUUUUUCCUGAUAGAAGGACCCAAACAAAACAGUUUCUUGUUGGAAUUUUGAAUUCCAUAAUUCCUCACAGAGCCAAGGCGUUAAAUUCAAAGUGUAUUUCUAAUCCAAAUACGUUAGGAAACACUGCUCUGGAGAACAUGGGUUCGAGUUUAAAUGGAAACCUCCGAAAAUUUACUUGAGACAUAUCCCAUUCCUCACCCGAAGACGUUCAUUCCAUUACGGAUUUGAAAUAAACGCCCUGUCAUUGCCUACAGGGCGAAGAGUAAAUAAAUUAACAACAUGAGGCAAUUUCAUGCCAACACUCUAAUGAUAAUACAUUGAAAUGAGAAUCCACGAUUCACAUUAUUAAUAAUAUAUAAUAUAGUGCUCAGCAUAUUAAAAAUAAAGAGAAAAUCCCUAAUAGCGUGCAGUAAACAAUAGAUAAAACAUUAUUUUUAGCAGCAUUGUUUAAACUAGUAUUAUUAACUAUUAAAAGAAUGGGUAGCAUCGGAAAUCAUCCUCAGCACGAAAAUAGUAAAUUCUCCAACAUCUUAUUUGCUAAAGAAAAAAGAAUAAUAAUUUUUCACGGACGUUUUCAAAUCUGCACGCUAUCAUUACAAAUCGAACGUUGUAAAUCGAACGUUUUCAAACAUCGGAACAAUGUUUAGAUAGAAAGAAUGGACAGCUUCAUCGAAAAUAGAAAUAUUCAGCAAAAUACUAUUUUGGAGUUUCUGUUUAUUUCAAAUCAACCUUAUCCCUGGAUCAUGUUCGAAGGUGGCUUUCCACAUAAUUUUCCAAAAUCUCCUCUCUAUCUGCUAACAAAAGUUCAAUUUUUCAUUAUAUGUAUUCAUAUCUUUCGUAAGCAUUUUAAACCUGAAUAUUUAAUACAUUUAUUUAUUCCAAUAAUUAAUUAUCUCGGAUUGCGCUAUAUAUUUCGAAUAUUUUAUUAUUUAGCAUUCGUUAGUCUGCUUAAUAGACGCAUGUGGCCCAACUACCUCUGGUUUAAUUACAGAAUAGCGAGAACAUAUUAUCCAUAUACUUCGAUAUUCAUUAUGAAUUUGAUCGUCAUUUUAAAACUACUAAAUUGUCAUUAAGAAGAAAAGAAAGUUUCCAUUUAGAAAAUGCGUAUGAAUUUCUAGAUCCAUUUAAAAACCAUACUUGGUGCCUGUUAAAAGUACAGUACAUCACAUCCCAAGCAUAAAAUGAAGACAAAGUCAUCAUUAUUGAUCACUUCUAGUGAAUCGUCGUAUAUUUUUGUACGUGAAUCUAUUACUUUACUAGAAUUUAAAAUGAAAUUUUACUUGAAUAAAUAUGAGCAGAAGAAAAUAUACUUUUGGAAAAGGAAUACAGUAUAUAAAUUUUUAUCAAAUUUAUGUAAUCGAUAGAGAAUAAAAAUAAGA